GACUCGUCACACUAUCAUUAACUGAAUCCAUAGGUUAAUGAGGCGAACCGGGGGAACUGAAACAUCUAAGUACCCCGAGGAAAAGAAAUCAACCGAGAUUCCCCCAGUAGCGGCGAGCGAACGGGGAGGAGCCCAGAGCCUGAAUCAGCAUGUGUGUUAGUGGAAGCGUCUGGAAAGGCGCGCGAUACAGGGUGACAGCCCCGUACACAAAAGCGCAUGUGCUGUGAGCUCGAUGAGUAGGGCGGGACACGUGGUAUCCUGUCUGAAUAUGGGGGGACCAUCCUCCAAGGCUAAAUACUCCUGACUGACCGAUAGUGAACCAGUACCGUGAGGGAAAGGCGAAAAGAACCCCGGCGAGGGGAGUGAAAAAGAACCUGAAACCGUGUACGUACAAGCAGUGGGAGCACAGGUUUACCUGUGUGACUGCGUACCUUUUGUAUAAUGGGUCAGCGACUUAUAUUCUGUAGCAAGGUUAACCGAAUAGGGGAGCCGGAGGGAAACCGAGUCUUAAUUGGGCGUUAAGUUGCAGGGUAUAGACCCGAAACCCGGUGAUCUAGCCAUGGGCAGGUUGAAGGUUGGGUAACACUAACUGGAGGACCGAACCGACUAAUGUUGAAAAAUUAGCGGAUGACCUGUGGCUGGGGGUGAAAGGCCAAUCAAACCGGGAGAUAGCUGGUUCUCCCCGAAAGCUAUUUAGGUAGCGCCUCGUGAAUUCAUCUCCG
rnacentral:rRNA from 1 species